UGUGGGAGGGGGCUUGCUCCCGAUAGCAAAGUGUCAGUCACUGCAUUUAUGACUGAUUCACCGCCAUCGGGAGCAAGCCCCCUCCCACA
rnacentral:misc_RNA from 1 species